rnacentral:lncRNA from 1 species
GUUUCUUGCUUCUUGUUCAGGACAAACUUUUUUCUAUUGAUAUAAAUCCUGGAUAAUUACACUGAAUGUGGAUUAUUUCAGAUUUAUGAUUAGGCUGUACAGUUUCCUGAAGAAAAAACUGAACAAAUGGACUUAAGAAUUCCAACCAGCAGGAUUCACUACUGAAACAUUCAAAGGGAGUGCCAGAAGUUGAGCACACCAAGAAAAAGGACCAGUCAGCAGUUUCAAAAGAAGCAAUCUCAGAGCUCAAUUUUUUGUGUUCAAUUACUCCAGGAUAUGGUAAAUAUCAACAAAUAGGAAUAUUUAAAUAACUAGAUGGAA